rnacentral:lncRNA from 1 species
GCUCUGGAUUGGUAGUUCUGCAUUAAUCUUAUUUCCUCCUAACAUCAUUUCAGGUUGUCUGCAGCCCUUCCAAACAUUACAAGGUGGAUGUUGGUGUCUUCUAUACAGCCUGCACUCAGUGAAAUUCUCUUCAAAUAAAUUAGGAGAUUCUAUUUUUGGAUAUGAAAUAUCUUUAUCCAGUUCUGGAUGCUGCUUUAUGGCUCGAGUUUUUUUUAGAUUAGUGCAACCAUAUUGUUUCUCUAGUUUUUGAGAUGGAAUUUUUAAUAUCCACCAGAGCUUCAGGCUUUACAUGAUUCGAAGCAGCUCAUUAUAUUCAGA